UAUCGUUCAGGAUGUGGCUGGUCUAGUUAUUACAGCAUUUUCGGGGAUAUUUAGUUUAGUAACAGUCACGACUCCUUCUAAUGCAUAACUAUUUAAUUUGAGUUGAUAAAUAUUGUUCUCACCUAAACAAAUACAACCUAUGUAUUACUCAUAUAGUAUGGAGUGAGUGUAUUAGGUCAUCUGUUUAUGUUAACUAUUAUCUAUUAUCUAAUAAAUGAAUGGAUAAUUACUUCUAAUUUAUUUUAAUAGCAGCUAAAAUAAACAUGGAUUUGUGUUUUUAUGUUUUCAGUGUUCCUACUUUUAUUUGACUAUGUAUUAUAAUUAUCUCAAAAACAUAUGUAGAAGAAAUUGCUCUAAAUUAUCUAGAUUAUGAUGACUGUUAUCUUAAUCUCCUUAAUCGAUAAGUCAAUCUCGUUAUACGAAUUUAAAACAUACAUAUAUUAGUUAUUUUAUGAUAUGCAUAACUAAAUGAUGAGGUUGAGACGGUUUCUAUGCAUUUUUAGACAAUGAUAAUACAGUGUUAAGCUUUUUUACUUAUCUCACCUUUACCAUCAACUAUGUUGUUUCUCCUUCUAUUUUUUGGAGCGCGUGCUAGCACAGACCUAAUAUAUAAUAUUUUUUUAUUUAUAUGUCACAAAAGAACUUGAAAAAGUCUAUCAAAUGUUGUUAUUACAGUAAAUUCUCUGUAAAUUAAUACUCGAUAGAGUAAUAAAUUCUCUAAAAUAAUAUUUUCCUUCGGUCUCAACUUGGGCCAAUGGAAAAAACAUCAAUUUCGAUAAGAUGAUAAGAUAAUAUAUUUUCAAAUCAUCUCUAUAUAAAUAUUUGUCCCAUUAAUAUCAUAAAUUAAUAAUCGUUAAAAGUACAAAUAUAUCUAAAGACAACUGAGUGAAAUAUGAUUUUGUUGAAUUUUUUUUAAAAAAAUAAAAAAUAAAAAUUAAAUAUGGUUGUAACAUAUCUCUAACUUUUCAGAUAGCAUCCACAAGCUUCGGUAUUUGUCUUUUUAAAUCGUACCAUAAAAUUGUUAAGAGUUCUAGAUGCGAUAAGUGUUUCUUUACGGGUAACUGGUUUCAAAGGUAUAUUAUCAUCUUUAACAUUGUUUUUCCUAUGGUAUUCACAAUUUCUUCUAAGCUUUGGACCUCUGAACAUUUAUUACUUUCACUCAGAUAAUUCAAUAGGUUAUUGUCAUCCAUUUUAUUGUGGUAACCGAGAUUAUUAACCAUGACCUCAAGUUCAUGAAUGACGUUUUCAAAAUUAGGUUCAUUCAAUUUUUUUUGAGAUUGCAACCGAAUGAAUUUUACAGCGUUGAAAACAAUUUCCUAUUGUUUCUUGCUGUAUAUUUUUUGUCCAAACAAGGAUUCAAAAUUGAUAACAUCCAAACAUGAGCUUUGCUAGAGUAGUUUGCCCCACUUCAUAGUCUUCUAAUUCAUGCGAUAAAUAUAUGUUUGAUAAUACAUUUUGAAAGAUCUUAUUAUCAAAACAUCACAAGGUUGAAAUUAGUAAGAUACAAAAAUUUUGAUGUAUUCUUUGUACUUUAUAUAUAAUAUAUUUUAUGUAAAAUCAAUAAUAAUGAUAUAUAAAUUAGUAAGAUACAAUGAUUUUGAUAUAAUGAAAAUUAAUCUUCAUCAAAUCUCUAAUCAUUCUUUAAAUUAAUAAGUAUUACUUUAUCGAUUAAAUAAUAUCUCUUUAAAAUAAUACAAUUUCAUGGUCCCGCCAAUAUUAAUUUAUAGAGGUUUUAUUGUAUUUUUAAAUAUUAAAAGUUGCUAAUUAGUGUAACUCAUUGAGUAAUAAUUCUUAAGUAAAGUUCAAAUAAUAUGUGUUAUUCUCUCGAAAUUUAUGUUGCAUGGUAGAAUUCAUGAGUGAACCAAUUUUUUAAGUGAUUGACUAUUGUGAUUUAUAGUAUUCCUUAUAUAAUUUUUGAAUAAUAUAUGUUACUUCUCUGUCCCUAUUUAUGUCGUAGCAUUGGUAGAAUCUCGAAAGUCAAUCAAAAGUUUUCAGAUGUGUUUUAAAUAUCUUAACUCAUCAAUUAUUGUGAUUUAUGAGAUCUUUUUUCAUAAUUUUUGAAUAAUAUAUUUUACUCCCUUUGUCCCGAUAUGUUGAGAACGGUUUAAAUUCUUCUUUAAUUUUUAUAUUUGUAUGUUAUUUUCAAAUAAUAUGUGUUACCUUCCUUUAUCCCAAUUUUUCAUGUAUGAAUGGAAUUUCAAGAGUCAAUCUAGCUUAUAUGUCUUCCAAAUGUAUCUUUUAAGUUUUUAAUUUAAUGUAAUUUAUUGAACUUUUUCAUAAUUUUUAAAUGUUCAAAAUAAGGCAAACAAAUUAAAAUGGUAAAAGGUAACUUCAAGUGACAAUAACUAGUAGCCCAUAGACGGCAAGCAGGCAGGACAACCACCAAUAUAUUUUAAGUUGCUAAUUUUGCUGUAAUAUUUAAUACAUUUGAUGUAAUUUUUGAAUAUACAAAAUAAGACAAAUAAAUUAAAACUGAAAAAAUUUACUUGUAGUGACCAUAACAGCCCUUUGGUUGCAAGCUGGCAACGCCAACUGCUUUCCAGGCAUAUAAUCACAAUAAUUUUUACGUAAAUUUUAGAUAUAAAUAAUAUAAGUUAAAACGAAAAAAUUAACUGGAAGUGACCAUAUUAGCCCUUGGGUUGCAACCUGACUGGACAACCGACAACUGCUUUCAAGGCGGAUAUCGUUGUAAGUUCCAAGGACAUUUACAAAGGGUAGUGUUAGGAUAUACUAUUAACCAUGCGUUUUGAUAUAGUAUUAAUAUUGAACAUUUGUUUAUUCAUUUAUUCAAUUCAAUAAAGUGUUACAUUAAAUAGAUCAAUUGUCAUAUAUGUGUCCUUAACUUAUAUAGUAGAUGAUUUGGUGUAUAGAGUUUAAGCUUAUCCACAGAAGAUUAAAUCAUCAGUUCUUAUAAGUUAAAAUUUAUAGUUCACAAUCAUAGAUGGAAAUUUGGACAAAAUCAUCAGAAAGAUUGUAGCACGAGAUUAAAUGUAAUUUAUCUUGAUUAUGAGAAUGGCAUAGUUCUAACUUCUCGUGCUAGUGCAUUUGGUAUGUAUUGAACGGGACCAAGCAGAGAUAGUUGUUUUAGACUGACUGAAAAUAAAAACAUAUUCUCUAAACUAUUAAAUGCACUUAUAUUCUUAAUCUUGAUAUAACGAUUAUGAUCUGUAUAUAUUAAUUAUCAUUUUGGUUUAUUAAAAGGUAAGAUUCUGAGAUGGGUCAAUAUGCCUGGUAGAUUGGAUGAUAAUAAUAUAUAUUGGUGAAAUAAUUAGUUAGUUGAUGGAAUCCAUGUCUCAGUAUAGAGAUUGAUGAUACACCUUUUAUGAGAAGCUUGUAAGUUUUCAUGUGUAAACCCGGCCGGUAGAUUUAUGAAUCUGGCACAUGAAAUAAUUUAAGAGUUGCUCUAAAAGAAGUUAAUCAUUGAAUUAAAUUCGUCAAUAAUUUAAUUUAUUGAUUAGUAUUGGUAAUCUUAACAUGGGGAAUCAAAUAAGUGUUCAGUGGUGAAUUUCGAAAUAAAUAGAGGAGUUCAAUUACGAAUUUUUAGUGGAAUGAUUUGAAAUUUAUUAUGGUAAGUAUAAUUUAAAUUAAUUAUUUAGAAUUAUUUCCAUAAUAGGAAGUCUCAGUAAUAAAUUUUGUGGUCCCUCCAGUGCCCAAUUUAACUAGAACUCAGAAUCCUAUUUUCUAGUAGAAGAUGAAAAAGUAGCCUUUUUUUUCUUUGGAGGAAAACGUGUGUUUUCAAGUUCUCCUAAAAGAAAAAGAAUUGGUUUUUUCCUCUCCUCUUUGGACUAGGAAGACAUCUCUAUAAAUAGGGAUUUUUCUAACCUAGAUUUAAUUGAGUAUUCUAUACAAUACUUGCCCACCCAAGUAUUGAGAGAGUUCAAUUGUUGAUUGGGAUCACUGUAGAAGACUAUAGAACUGGAGUUGGAUUUACUUCAAGAUAUCUGCACACGCUUCAAGAGGUAAUUCUGAGUUAAUUUUCAGCAUACUUUGUAUGUGAUAACUAUUUGUGAUUGUUAUUUAUAUGCAUGCAAGAUAUAUGAUUCUGGAAUGCUUCCGCUGUAUAUGCUAUUUUCUAACAACUGACAUCAAGAGCCAUACUUGCAUCUUUAUAUAUAACCUAAAGUAUGUGUAUGUGAAAUUGUAUGUAUGAUUCGUGGUUGUGAAUUUUGUUUUAUCACGAAAAGGACAAAACAGAAGAAACUUGAAUUGGUUUGGUUUUGUUUAAUGCAUACAGUAAUAUAUAGUUAUUUAUGAAAAUUAAUCACUAAAUUCUGAUAAGUAUUUUCACGAGAUCAUGCAAAAUUUUCGUACUAUAUGAUGAAGAAUUUUGUAAAGAAAUUUAAUGGCAGCAUGCACAUUUCGUUUUUUUUUGUGUCGUCAUCUUUGUGAGAUAGCUCAGAAUCUUUUAUUUUCUCAUUAAAUCGGUUGGUGGUUGCUGGUAUAUUAAGAGAAGUGUUGGCUGAAAAAAAAAUUAAUUUAGCUAACGUGAUUUGGUAGAAAAGGAAUCAUUGAUUAUUAAAACAACAUGGGUGUAGUUUUCUUGUUCAGGUCAUUGGAGUCACAAUUUUUAAUUUUUUUUAAUCUUAGUGAACCAAGAUUAUUUCUAAAUUAUACAUUAUUAUAUGUUAUCUUCUCAAGAGGUAUAUAUUAUAUUAAUGAAUAUGUAUGAGAUGACACAUGGAAUGUAUUGGAGAUUUGGUGUGAGCAUAUUUGCUUUCUGAAAUUUUUUUGUUGUUUGCAUUGUUUCAUCCUAGAAAUUUGUUGGCAUAAAAUUUACCAAGAAAAUAAAAUAGUGAUGAGUAAUUUUUUUUAAAAAUAAAAUAAAAUAAAAAAUUACCAAGAUUAAAUAGUAAUGAAGUAUUAAGUUUAUGUGUUGGCUUAGACCUUCCUCCCCAUCGGAUGAAUUUAAUACAAGUCAUUACGUAUUUAAUCGCUAGUUUGAUAAUUUGUAUUAACUCUCCUAAACUGAGUAAUAUAUGAUUGGAUCAAUGCAACUAGAGGAUUUUCACUUGAUUUAAAGUAACAGUAGACUCUCCAACUGAGUUAGGUCUGUAUAAGUUUAUGGAGUGAAUAAUCGGUCAUUAUAUAUGUAUAUUGUAUGAAUAGUUCUCCAAUCCCAACGAUUGGCUAUUUAAGAUGCAUGAAUGUAUAUGUAUAUCAUGAGUUUGAAUGUAAAUAUUCAAUGUUAUAUGACUAUGUUAUUGAUCUAUUGUAACUAUUUCUUCAAUCUCAGAUUCAACAUGUCUCCUUUUAAUCCCAUUAGUAAUAUUUUGGGUCAAAACAAACUAGAGGGUUCUAACUAUGUUGACUUGAGGAGAAAUCUUGACAUUGUGUUAACUGCUGAAGAAUAUAAGUUUGUGCUUCAUGAGGAAUGUCCAUUGAAACCAAAUGAUCAGUCGAGUGAUGAGGAUAAGUUAGCUUAUCAGAAAUGGCGCAAAGCUGAUGAGAUGGCGCGAUGUUACAUUAUGGCUUCAAUGUCAAAUGUUUUGCAACAUCAACAUCAAGCUAUGUUGUCUGCUUUUGAAAUUCUGGAGAAUCUCAAACAAAUGUUUGGAGACCAGGGUCGAUCAGCUAAGCAGACUGCCAUGAGAACUCUCAUGAACACUAAGAUGGUUGAAGACACUCCUGUAAGAGACCAUGUUCUGAAGAUGAUAGGUCUUCUGAAUGAACUAGAGGUUUUGGGGGCUGAAAUUGACAAUGACUCCCAAGUUGAGAUGAUAUUGAAGUCUCUACCUGAUAGUUUUCAACAAUUUUGCCUAAAUUAUAAUAUGAAUAAGAUAAGUCUAUCUUUGGCACAAUUGUUGAAUGAGCUACAGGCGGCAGAGACCCUUGGCAAAAAACAUGCACCAUCAAUGGCACUUAAUGUUGAGAAAGGUUCUACUUCUAAACCGCAAGGUGGACAGAAGAAGAAAAAGUCUCACAAAGCUAAGGCAACUGCACCUCCAACUAGGGGAGUGAAAAAGUCUAAGGGUAAGUGUUUUCAUUGCAAGAUGUCAGGUCAUUGGAAGACACAUUGUCCAGUUUUCUUAGCCAAGAAGAAAAACAAACCAGGUAACUCACUUUCACUUGUCGUUGAAACAUUUUUAGCGGCUGUUUCUACCACUUCAUGGUGUGUAGAUUCAGGAGCCACUGAUCAUAUUUGCACUACUAUGCAGGAGUUUCAAGAAACGCGCAAGCUGACUAGAGGUGAAGUUAGCGUUUUUCAAGCAAAUGGCUCUGCAGCUCCAGUUUUAGCAUUAGGAAAUAUUAUUUUUUCGUUUGAUAGUGGUAGAGUUUUAAUUUUAAAAGACGUUCUAUAUGCACCUGCUAUUAGAAGAAAUUUGAUUUCAGUUUCUAAAGUUUUGAGAGAUGGUUAUGAUGUUAGUUUUUCUGAUAACGGUUGUGUUAUUAGUUAUAAUAAACAUCUUGUCUCUGCUGGUACAUUGAUUGAUGGUCUUUUUAUUAAUAAUGUCUCUCCAGAACUGCAACAAAUCGUAGAAUUGAAUAAUAUUAACCUUUCAAGUAAAAGAAAACGUUCUUCUGAUUUUAAUGAGACUUAUCUAUGGCACUUGCGUCUAUGUCAUAUAAAUCUAGAUAGGAUUUCAAGGUUGGUUCGAGAUUGACCUUUAGGUUCAUUAAAAGUGGAGUCACUACCAACAUGUGAAUCUUGUUUAGAAGGAAAAAUGACUAAGAGACCUUUUCCCUCAAAAGGAAAUAGAGUCAAUGAUAAACUAGAGUUAAUUCAUUCUGAUUUGUGUGGCCCAAUGAACAUUCAAGCAAGAGGUGGGUAUGAGUACUUCGUGACCUUCAUUGAUGACUACUCAAAAUAUGGAUAUAUAUAUUUGUUGCGCCGCAAGUCUAAAUGCUUUGAGAAAUUCAAAGAGUUUAAGGCUGAAACAGAGAAACGACAUGGAAUAUAUAUCAAGUCAUUGCGAUCUGAUCGUGGUGGCGAAUACCUCUCUAAUGAUUUUAUUAGUUACUUAUCAGAACAAGGAAUUACAUCUCAAAUGUCUGCACCUAGAACGCCACAACAAAAUGGUGUAGCAGAAAGAAGAAAUAGAACUCUUUUAGAAAUGGUUAGAUCAAUUAUGAGUUACUCUGAUUUGCCGCAUUUAUUUUGGGGAUAUGCCAUAGAAACUGCAAAUUACAUUCUGAACUUCGUUCCUUCUAAAUCUGUUCCUUCAACACCCAUUGAACUGUGGACUGGGUACAAACCUAGUUUGAGACAUAUUCGGGUUUGGGGAUGUCCAGCACAUGUAUUAAAAGGGAAGGCAGAAAAAUUGGAACCUAAAACAGAAGUAUGUGUUUUUAUUGGAUACCCUAAAGGAACGAAAGGUGGUAUGUUUUAUAAUACUAAAGAAAAGAAGGUCAUUGUGUCUACCAAUGCCAAGUUACUGGAAACGGAUUUUUUAACAAACCAUAUUCCUAGAAGUAAACUAGUUUUACAGGAAUUGAGCAAAGAGAAAACAAAUCAAUCUACUGAAAAUAAUGAAAACCAAAUUCAAACCCCACAUGUUAGAGUUAACAUACCAUUGCAUUAUAAUAGUGGGAGAGAUGUUAACAAACUUAAAAUUCUGCAAGUACAAGAUCUUGAAAAUUCAUUGCAUCAAGGUAGUGGGAGUAAUAAUGAGCAGAUUGCAUUAGAGGAAGAAGUUGUUGAUAUCUCUGCACCGUAAGAUACUGAAGAUAACAUGGAAACUCAAGAUCCUAAAAAUGAUGUGGUUCCACCACAAGAUCAUAAUAAUGCAAAUCUCUCUGAACCUGACCCUGCAACUGUAGUGUCUCGUCGUAGUGGGAGAGUGAUAAGAAAACCACUUCGGUAUGCACUCUUGUGAGAGUCUUUUGACAGAAUCCCUGAAGAGUCGAAUACCGAACCUGUGAAUUACGACGAAGCACUACAAGAUAAACAUGCAGAAAAAUGGAUUGUUGCUAUGAAAUUAGAAAUGGAGUCUAUGUACUCUAACAAAGUCUGGGAUCUUGUAGAACCACUUGUAGAUGGAGUCAAACCUAUUGGAUGCAAGUGGAUAUAUAAGAAAAAGAGAGGAGUAGAUGGACAAGUGCAAACCUACAAAGCUAGACUUGUUGCAAAAGGGUUUACUCAAAAAGAAGGGAUCGACUAUGAGGAAACUUUUUCGCCAGUAGUCAUGCUUAAGUCUAUUAGAAUUCUCUUAUCCAUUGCUGCUCAUUAUGAUUAUGAGAUUUGGCAAAUGGAUGUCAAGACAACUUUCCUUAAUGGAAGUCUUGAUGAAAACAUAUUUAUGCGACAACCAGAUGGUUUCAUAGAAAAAGGAAAAGAAUACAUGUUGUGCAAGCUUAAAAGAUCUAUUUAUGGAUUAAAGCAAGCUUCUAGGGCAUGGAACACUUGCUUCGACACUGCAGUCAAGUCUUUUGAUUUUGAGCAAUGUCUUGAUGAGUCUUGUGUGUACAAAAAGUGGAACGGGGAUAAAGUGGUGUUUUUGGUAUUAUAUGUAGAUGAUAUCUUGCUCAUAGGAAAUAAUGUGGGCUUGAUGAAUUCAGUUAAGAAAUGGUUGUCCACAAACUUUGAUAUGAAGGAUUUGGGAGAAGCUGCUCACAUCCUUGGGAUCAAGGUUCUACGUGAUCGCAAGAAAAGGAUGUUAGGUUUAUCUCAAGCUCUUUAUAUUGAUACAAUUCUUACCAGGUUUAGCAUGCACGAUUCCAAGAAAGGUUUUCUUCCUUUUAGAUAUGGAAUUUCUUUAUCUAAGGAUCAAUGUCCUAAGACAGAUGAGGAAACAUAAAGCAUGAAGACAGUUCCUUAUGCAUCAGCGGUAAGAAGUCUCAUGUAUGCCAUGUUAUGCACUAGACCUGACAUUUGUUUUGCCGUAGGCAUGGUUAGCAGAUAUCAGUCUAAUCCUGGACGAGAACAUUGGACAGCAGUUAAGCAUAUAAUCAAGUACCUGAAAAGGACUAGAGAUUACAUGCUAGUCUAUCAUUCGGAUGAGUUGGUGCCCAUAGGGUACACAGACUUAGAUUUCCAGUCUGAUAUGGACUCUAGAAAGUCGACCUCAGGAAAUGUGUUUACUUUGGGAGGUGGAGCCAUUGUUUGGAGAAGCAUCAAGCAAACCUGUGUUGCUGAUUCUACCAUGGAAGCCGAAUAUGUAGCAGCUUCUGAAGCAGCUAAGGAGGCAGUGUGGCUCAGAAACUUUCUGAAAGACUUGGCGGUUGUUCCUGCAAUAGAAAUGCCACUUACAAUGUUUUGUGAUAAUAGUGGAGCGGUUGCAAAUUCAAAGGAACCACGAAGUCAUAAGAAGGCAAAACACAGUGAGAGAAAAUACCAUUUGAUUCGAGACAUAGUACAGAGAGGGGAUGUGAUGGUGGCGAAGAUUGCAUCAGAGAACAACCUUGCAGACCCUUUCACAAAAGCUUUACCGCAAAAGUCUUUUGAUAGACAUGUUGAAGGAAUGGGUGUUAGAGUUGUAGGUGCAUGGUUAUAAGUCUAAGUGGGAGAUUGUUAGGAUAUACUAUUAACCAUGCGUUUUGAUAUAGUAUUAAUAUUGAACAAUUGUUUAUUCAUUUAUUCAAUUCAAUAAAGUAUUACAUUAAAUAGAUCAACUGUCAUAUAUGUGUCCUUAACUUAUAUAGUAGAUGAUUCGGUGUAUAGAGUUUAAGCUUAUACACAGAAGAUUAACUCAUCAGUUCUUAUAAGUUAAAAUUUAUAGUUCACAAUCAUAGAUGGAAAUUUGGACAAAAUCAUCAGAAAGAUUGUAGCACGAGAUUAAAUAUAAUUUAUCUUGAUUAUGAGAAUGGCAUAGUUCUAACUUCUCGUGCUAGUGCAUUUGGUAUGUAUUGAACGGGACCAAGCAGAGAUAGUUGUUUUGGACUGACUGAAAAUAAAAACAUAUUCUCUAAACUUUUAAAUGUACUUAUAUUCUUAAUCUUGAUAUAACAAUUAUGAUCUGUAUAUAUUAAUUAUCAUUUUGGUUUCUUAAAAGGUAAGAUUCUGAGAUGGGUCAAUAUGCUUGGUAGAUUGGAUGAUAAUAAUAUAUAUUGGUGAAAUAAUUAGUUAGUUGAUGAAAUCCAUGUCUCAGUAUAGAGAUUGAUGAUACACCUUUUAUGAGAUACGCUUGUAAGUUUUCAUGUGUAAACCCGGCUGGUAGAUUUAUGAAUCUGGCACAUGAAAUAAUUUAAGUAUUGCUCUUGAAGAAGUUAAUCAUUGAAUUAAAUUCGUCAGUAAUUUAAUUUAUUGAUUAGUAUUGGUAAUCUUAAUAUGGGGAAUCAAAUAAGUGUUUAGUGGUGAAUUUCGAAAUAAAUAGAGGAGUUCAAUUACGAAUUUUUAGUGGAAUGAUUUGUAAUUUAUUAUGGUAAGUAUAAUUUAAAUUAAUUAUUUAGAAUUAUUUCCAUAAUAGGAAGCCUCAGUAAUAAAUUUUGUGGUCCCUCCAGUGCCCAAUUUAACUAGAACUCAGAAUCCUAUUUUCUAGUAGAAGAUGGAAAAGUAGUCUUUUUUUUCUUUGGAGGAAAACGUGUGUUUUCAAGUUCUCCUAAAAGAAAAAGAAUUGGUUUUUUCCUCUCCUCUUUGGACUAGGAAGACAUCUCUAUAAAUAGGGAUUUUUCUAACCUAGAUUUAAUUGAGUAUUCUAUACAAUACUUGUCCACCCAAGUAUUGAGAGAGUUCAAUUAUUGAUUGGGAUCACUGUAGAAGACUAUAGAACUGGAGUUGGAUUUACUUCAAGAUAUCUGCACACGCUUCAAAAGGAAAUCCUGAGUUAAUUUUCAGCAUACUUUGUAUGUGAUAACUAUUUGUGAUUGUUAUUUAUAUUCAUGCAAGAUGUAUGAUUCUGGAAUGCUUCCGCUGUAUAUGCUAUUUUCUAACAGAUAGUGCUAAUUACCUUUAAAAUAUAUAUAUAUAUAUAUAUGUACUGUUAAAUAAUUAUUGUUAGAGGGUGAAUUUUGUGUAGUAUCAUAUAAUAGCUUUAAAAACUAUUCGUUGAAGAUGAACAAGAUUUAUCACGCCAUGCAGGAGUGGACCGACCUUAUUAGAAGGGGUGUCAUCCGACACGGCUUAGUUGAGAAGUUUAAUUAAAAUAUACAUAUAUGUAAAUACAUCAGGAAAAAAAUAACACACUUUUAUAUAAAACAGUAAUGACAAAAAUCAACACACGCUCCAAAAUGGCUUGUUUGUUAGGUACUUCCACGUUGUGGCUGUCAACCUGAGGUCGAACCUUGAUGGCAACAUUUUUGUACAUCUUUUACAGAACCCAAAGAAGCCUCUUCUUUGAGCUAUUCAAAUUUUUGCAUGUCUUAGAUGUACGUAAUAAAUAAAUAAAAAUAAGUUAUUUAGCUAUGUCUUUGAAGAAAAAUAAGUGUGUUUUUGAGAGUAGAAAAUAUUAUUCUUCAAUAUGUAAAAAAACAACUUUUGCCUAAAAGUAAAGUUACAAUAAAUUUUUUUUUGAGAAAUUCAUUAUUUACUUGGCCAGACACUAAUUACUACUAAAAAGUACUUUAUAAACUUAUUGAUCAAACAUAAACCACUUCUUGCCAAAAUUAUUGUUUUUGAGAGAAAAAAAAUAUACUUUUUAUAAUAAAUUUAACUUUAGAAGUUUGGUCAAACAGACUAUUAAUCAGCCAAACCUAAAAUUCUAGUGUUAAAAAAUUAGUUGAUCUUUUUCCAAAUUUUAUUUAUUUGUUCUUUCUUUUUAAGUGACUACACUACUUAUUAAAAUUUUCGUGUACGCCACUAGCGCCCUAGCCAAUGCAUGUAUUCACAUCCAUACACAUAAAGAUAAUAUAAGAUAUGAACAAUAAACUUUAGUGUUAUGUUUUGGUAAAGAGAUUUUUCUCUUUGGCUUUUAACAUUUUGAAGUCAUUUUAAACUUAUUUAAGUCAUUUUCAACUUCGUCAAACACUUGCAAAAAGUAAGAUAAUUUAAAAAUAAUUUGAUCAACUUUUAAGCUAAUACAAAUUGCUUCUUAAAAUAGCAUACUUGAUAUAAAUAUUUUACUUUUUCAAAUUCUCACUUAAAAGACCUAAAUAUAGAGUUUGGACCAUAAGAGAUGACAUUUACCUAUCUCUAAUCAAGGUCAUCACAUGUAGCCUUACCAAAUUAACCUUUGUGGACCACCACUAAUUAAUUUAUUUUUCUAAUGCCAUAUAUAUUAAGUGUGAUGCAUUGACUAUUAUUUUGUGUUUAAUUACCUCAUAGGUUUUGUCUAUACUUUUAAUUGUAAGGUGAUGUAAUGAUUUAUAAUUACCAUUUCCGUUGUUACAAACAAUUGUAAUAUAUCAACAAUUGUAAUUACAGCACAAGAAUAAUGACAUUUUUUAUGGAAAUAUGAUGCCGAACACAUGAAAUGUUCUCUUUGCAUAUGGCGAUCGUAAUGAGAGAACCCAAAUUUAUUUAGUGAAAUUUGUGAAUGCAGACGUCCUCUCUAAAACACAGUAAAGAUCAUUGGACUCAUUUACCUUUAAAUUCAACUAUGAUACCAAUGGAAACUUUUCUACUAUAAUUAAAAAUAAUGUAGUAAGAGUCACGACUCCUUCUAAUGCAUGACUAUUUAAUUUGAGUUGAUAAAUAUUGUUCUCACCUAAAUAAAUACAACCUAUGUAUUACUCAUAUAGUAUGGAGUGAGUAUAGAAGGUCAUCUCUUUAGGUUAACUAUUAUCUAUUAUCUAAUAAUUGAAUGGAUAAUGACUUCUAAUUUAUUUGAGUAGCAGCUAAAAUAAACAUGGAUUUGUGGCUUUAUGUUUUCAGUGUUCCUACUUUUA
rnacentral:lncRNA from 1 species